rnacentral:rRNA from 1 species
CCCUUAGAUGUUCUGGGCUGCACGCGCGCUACACUGAAGCUAUCAACACGUUUUCCCUCCCUGAGAAGGGCGGGUAACCUUCUGAAUCAGCUUCGUGGUAGGGAUCGGGGCUUGCAAUUGUUCCCCGUGAACCAGGAAUUCCUAGUAGACGCGAGUCAUAAGCUCGCAUCGAUUAAGUCCCUGCCCUUUGUACACGCCGCCCGUCGCUACUACCGAUUGAACGUUUUAGUGAGGCAUUUGGACCGACGCAUCUCAGUUUAACCGCUGGUUUGUGUUGGAAAGACUUCCAAACUUGAGCGUUUAGAGGAAGUAAAAGUCGUAACA